AAGAACAUAAAUAUUUUAAAAUUAAAUAAAAUUUUGAUAGCCACAACCACAAACACUAGUUUUACAACAAACACCCGUGAAACAUCAAAGCCUUGAAACCUUGUGUUUCUAGCGAAAUAAAAAAAUUAUGUCCUGUAACACUUAGGUAGGACUCGCAAGAAGCAAAAAAAAAACAUCAAAACCAAAGACAAAGAAGAAGUCUAACUAAUCAAACUAAAAACUGGUUAUGAUUGCAUGUGUCUUAAUCAGUCUCCACCUCCACCACCACCUCCGCCACAGCCACCGCCUCCACCACCAUCUCCGCCUCCACAACCACCACCUCCACCUCCAUCACCAUCUCCGCCUCCACAGUCACUGCCACCACCACCACCUCCACCUCCGCCUUCAAUAUCCCCACCACCACCUCCUUCAGUCGCACAUCCAUUGCAAAUGGCCGUAAGAACCCCCAAAGCAAAAAUGACAACAAAUAAGGUUAUAACGAUUAUUGCUAUAAACUCCAUGUUACACAACACACGUUGAGGCUUGGGUUGAGAGCAACGAUUGAAAUCUCUACGCUAAGUAUUAAGUCUCGAUAAUAUAUAUAACACAUAUUUUUGUAUUUGAUGCUUUCCUGUAAACAGAUAAGGUGUUUUGUUUGCAUUGACUUUUAAAUAUUUAUAUGUUUACAUUCAAAGAUAUAGUUUGCUUUUGUUGUACAAUAGAUUAAUCAUAUUAUAAAAUAAAUUAUUGUAGAAAAUCUAACUCUAUAAUAGAAUUAUUUAUUUUAGAAUAAAAUAAAAAAAAAAUUAUAAAUUACCAUUGGAGAUGGUUUUACAAAACCACAAACAUUUGUUCUUAUCUGAAACAUUUUAUAUAUGGAAUUAAAAGUUCAGACCUAAAAAUAUGAACUUUUAAAUAUAAUUCUUCGCAGUGAUUAGAUAUAACUAAAAUCUCCCAAACUAGAAAUUAAAGACUGUGUAACCCAACUACCCAUAUCAUUUUCAUCGUCAUCAAUCCCACUCUCUGCAACGUCAUCAACGCCAAAGAUCACUGUCAUCAUCAUGACCUCAUUUUUGCCAAAUUUUUUAUUAUGGAAACACUAACUUUGUAUAUAUAGUAAUGAAUUAAAGUAAUAUUAAGGUAAACUUUAGAAACACACAGAGAAAAGUAUGUGGAGAUAUAUAUCUAGUAAUCCACUUUAUCUUUAAUAUGGUUAAUCAGACUUUUGGCAGUAUUCUGUGAUGGAAGGGUGGUGUUCCAAUGACGUCAAAUUCCUACCAAUAUGUUUGUGUUGGUAGUUGCGUUUGGAACAUGGAAAGAGAUUGUGAUAAAUAUUGCCCUGGGUGUGUUAGAUAUGUAGUUACAUCGCCUGAAAAUUGCUUUUCCAAUAUUAAGAUAUUGUUAUUUUCGUUCAUGUAUAUGAUUAUGCAAUAGAGAACAAAUACAUUCAUCGUGAAAAAUGACAAAAGCAAGCUUGUGGCUUGUUUUUUUUUAAAAGCACUAUCUUGUUUUGUUCACAUGAUAUUGACUGAAGCUCUUUUUUUUUUGUUAUUAUCGCUCAACAUGGGUCACAUAUACUGAAUGGAAGAAACCUAUAUGAUAAUGAAACGAAUUAAAUCUAUUGGUUGUAAAAAUAAACUCUAUUGAUAAUGGCAUAUGGUCCUCAAUUCCGUCUCGCCAAUGUUAGCGGUGCGUUUAUCUUCAAAACAAUCAAUUGUUGCAAACAUUUGAUUCCAGGUAAGGAAAAACUGUUACUUGUCCGUCAGGUCUCUGGUGUGCUUCUGAUUGGUUAGCCAUUUUACUGAUGUUCAGUUCUGUCAUCUUUAGAUCUUGACGGUAUAAAUCUUCUGACUCACCAACCAUAUGGAUUGUAUUUCAUAUCAUUUCCAGCCAUUUUUGCUGGCAUAAGACCCACGUCUACUGUUUUAGCAGUGCAUAACAAUGGGAGACUGUAUCAUAAACGUUUUUAUGAGGAGCAACGCUUGUAUAUAGAAGAAUGCUCAGUGGAGGUUAAUAUUUUCCAUCAAAUCUCAAAUCGUUUGAAAAUAUUAUCUUUAUCUUGUUACAAAUGAGAACCAUGUGAAAGUAGUAAACUCAUUAUAAGUGUUGUCCUACUUCCCUAGAAAAACACGUUUUCUUGCUAAGUUGGUGGAAAAUACCAUUCAUUAGAAAUAUGAUCGUGUUGAUGUGGUACCACGCCAAACUGAUUUGCUUUAAGAGGUCGACUAUUUACAGUCAACUGCGCCAAGUCUUGCUAGAAGAUUAUGUCUUUAUCUUUUCAUUAAUUUUUAUUGUUGUUAUUGCUUGUUGAUGAUUCUGUCGAUAGUGGUUACAACACUGUGGCGAAAGGUUGAUCCAUUUUGAUACAAGAUAGGAGUUGACUGACUCUUAAUAAUAGAAGUUUAUUGUUUAGUAAAAAAGAGUGCUGUUGUAAGGAAUUGGAAGAUAUGUUUGGGUUUCAUCAACUAUUACAAAUCUACCCAAUCAAACAUUCAUUGGUCUUAUGACCUAAGAAUAUUUUUUCCUAGAAAAGUCACUCAAAUCACUGUAGAAAGUUUGUCUUGUAACAUGUUUUGAACUGUUGCUUCUGUUUAUAGCAAUAAGCAUAGUACAAUCUUUAAUAUAUUUUUUCUGAUUUUUUUCUUGUAUGAUUAAUGCUUAUCUGAGAUUAUUGUUUUUUUCAUGAGUGUAGUAGGGUAGUAAAGUUAAGCGAUCAUGUAAACUUUGGCUAAGUAGGUGUUGAAACUGAAAAUAGUAAAGUAAAUGGUUUGACAAGUAGAGCGCCAAGUGACUAAGGGUUUGAACUAUUUGGCUUAAAUAUUCGUUGUUGAUUUUUAAUUAUUUCUUAAAGGAACCUAAUUAAGUAUCUCAGAUAGUAGUGGUGUUUAGAGACUAGGCGCGCAUCUAGGGUUUAAAGAAAACGGUAGUACUGGCUUGGAGAGAUGAUUGUGACAAGAGGAAGAAUAUCAAGAGUUUUAAACAAGAAAUUUUAAAAGGAGAACCGAAUUUAGUUAGGUUUUACUUUGAUUCCAUAUUCUUCAUUUUUAGCCUUUCGAAAAAUGAUUAGAUUGUAGGUGGUGGUGGCCUAGGGGGAUAGAUAUUUCGAUAACCCGUAAUAAGGGAAUCUUCCUUUGUUAUGUGUCUUGUGUCCGCCUGAAACCCUGGGGUUCACUUUAUGUUUGGAUAUGAUGAUAUUAAGAUGUCAAACAUAUAUAUCUUUCAAAAAUAAAGAUGUUAAAAAUAUUUAAGUUUUAUACAUUUACCAAGUUGUUGGACAAGCAAUCAAAUCGAAAAUAUUGCAAUAUAUGACCGUAGAAGUCUCGUUCAUCUUAUCUGUAUCGCAAGUUGAGUGAAUAACACAUAAUCUAGAAAAAUACUGUAGAGGAUGAUGACUCAACUCAGCCAACUUAAGAUUAUAUAAAGAGGACCAAGCUUGCUUCUCAUUUAAACACACACACACACUCCUCAAAAAUUAAUUAUCUCUUGUAGUCUAUUUUUUGUUUGUUAAAUUCAAAUAUAUGGAGCAUAAAAAGAUUGGUUCAGAAAAUCAAGAUUCGUACGAUGAUCAACAGAAAUGGGUCCUUGAUUCUUCUUUUGACAGCAAAGGACAUGUUCCUCUCCGGGCUCGAACUGGCGCUUGGAGAGCUGCAUUCUUCAUCAUUGGUAACAAAACUUUCACUAAGAUUCUUAUACAGAAAUUAUAGCAUAUACUAUAUAUGAAAGUAAGGUAUAGUAGCCCACAAUUUAAAUAUUUUAUUAAGGUAUUUUGUUCCUUCUUCGCUGUGUAGCAAUCGAGUUCAGCGAGAGAUUGAGUUACUACGGGUUAGCUACGAACUUAGUGGUCUACCUAACAAUAAUUCUCCACCAAGACCUAAAGACGGCUAUAAGAAAUGCGAACUACUGGGCUGGUGUCACUACUUUGAUGCCUCUUCUAGGAGGUUUUGUAGCAGAUGCUUAUCUUGGCCGUUACACCACUGUCUUGGUUGCAACCACCAUUUACCUUAUGGUAAUAUAUGUUCUUCCUAAAGCAAUUUUAACUUAAAAAGAUUCCAAAACAACUUUAAAUUAUUUUCUCUUGUUUCUUUGUGAGAGCAGGGUUUGGUCCUUUUAACAUUGUCCUGGUUCAUACCGGGAUUGAAACCUUGUCAUCAAGAAGUAUGCCUUGAACCUAGGAAAGCACACGAGAUAGCCUUCUUCAUUGCCAUAUACUUGAUCUCCAUAGGUACUGGAGGUCAUAAACAUUCCCUUGAGAGCUUUGGUGCUGACCAGUUCGACGAGGGUCAUGCUGAAGAAAGAAAGAUGAAGAUGUCUUAUUUUAACUGGUGGAGCGCUGGUCUAUGUGCCGGCAUUCUAACGGCUGUGAUUGUUAUUGUCUUUAUUGAAGACCGGGUUGGUUGGGGUGUUGCUAGCAUCAUACUCACUGCAGUUAUGACUAUAUCACUUCUCAUAUUCCUCGUAGGGAAACCAUUCUAUCGUUACCGGAAGCCUUUGGGUAGCCCUUUGACGCCAAUGUUGCAGGUCUUUGUUGCCGCCUUUGCCAAAAGAAAGCUUCCUUAUCCCUCUGAUCCUUCUCUCCUUCACGAAGUUUCCAAGGCAGAGUUAAACAAUGGACGGCUUCUCUCCCACACAACGCAUGUCAAGUGAGUAGAAAUAACCCAAAAUGUCCAUGUUUUUCUUUUUGUUAAGAGCGAAAGUUCACAGUCUUGGGUCCACAAUCUUUUCUAAAUCUAGAAUCACAAAAGAACCAAUCCUCAUGUUACUACUUACUACCAUUACCGGUUUAAUAAUUUUAUGGGCUCUAGAGCAAACAGAGCAAAAAAAAAUUAUAUCUUCAAAAAUUAAUAUUUAUUUAUAAUUUUUUUAAUUAUUAUUUUUAAAAAUAUUAUAUAAAAUUUAUGAUGAUAAUACAAAUAAAUAUUUAUAUAAAACGCAUUUUGAACUCCUUUUAUUUCUUUUUUUUUUGUAUUAAAUACAUAUAUUAAAAAUGUAGACCUUUAGCUAUUAAAAAAUGAUGCUUCCUUCAACUUGGCAUUUGGUUUUAGUUUUGGUAUUUAAUUUAUUUCUCUUUGUAGUUUUUACGUUCUCAUUUGAUCAUCUGGUUCUGGAAUGAUUGAUCCUUGCCGGCUUAUGGCUUAAGAAAAAAACUUUUUUGCUAUUUGCGUAAAAUUUUCAAAUUUAUAAUAUUAAUCAAAUAUAUAAUAAAAAACUAUUAAAAAUGAGAAAACACGGAUUGGUCCUCUCGUACCGCUGCUUGUCGCCUACGUAAGCCGUCCCCGACUACCAUUAUACAAUUAACACUUUGGUAAUAUGUCCAUGAUUAUACAUCUAAACUGAUUCUUGUGUGGAUUUUUUCCUUUUAAAUUGCAGAUUUCUUGACAAGGCAGCAAUAAUAGAAGACAACACUCCUCAAGCACUCCAGAAACAGAGUCCAUGGAGGCUGGCAACGUUAACAAAAGUAGAGGAGACAAAGCUGAUCAUCAACAUGAUCCCCAUAUGGCUCUCCGUGUUGGUCUUUGGCAUUUGUGCUGCACAAGCUUCGACUUUUUUCAUCAAACAAGCAACCGUCAUGGACAGACACAUCGCCGGUAAAAACAGCUUCACAAUCCCUCCAGCAUCCAUUUACUGUCUCACAGCUAUCACAUUGAUCAUGUACGUCACCGUCUAUGAUAAACUCCUUGUUCCUUUCCUAAGACGCAACACACAGAACCAAAGAGGCAUCAAUAUUCUCCAAAGGGUCGGGAUCGGUAUGUUUUUCGCUGUCAUCACAAUGAUCAUUGCAGCUCUAGUUGAGAAAAAACGACUUGACCUCCUUACCGAACAGAAUAGACCCAUGAGUGUGUUUUGGCUUGCUCCUCAGUUCAUAGUCCUUGGCGUUGCAGAGGGGUUCACACUGGUUGGACUUCAAGAGUACUUCUACGACCAAGUCCCGGAUUCUAUGAGAAGCUUAGGUAUAGCGUUUUACCUAAGCGUGCUAGGAGCAGGUAGCUUCCUUAACAAUCUACUGAUCACGGUUGUUGAUUCACUAGCGGAGGAUUUCUCGGACAAGCGUUGGUUCGGUAAGACCUUGAACAGUAGUCGAUUGGAUUGGUUCUACUGGUUGCUAGCUGGUCUAACCGCUGCCAAUAUGUGUGUCUUUAUGAUUGUGGCAAAGAGAUUUCCUUACAAAAGUGUGCAGUCAAGCCAAGUUUUAGCUGACUCGUCCGUGUCCGAUGCCUAAAUAAUAAAUUUUCAUAAUAGUUCAAACAUAUCUUCUUCUUCUUUGUGCCUUCGCAAUAAUGAUCAUCACAAAUUACAGACUCUUCCAAUCAUAGCUUGCUUAAUUAAAAUAUGCAAUAGGUGUGACCCUCCCGAUGUUUAUAUAAGAACAUAAAUAUUUUAAAAAUAAAUAAAAUUUUGAUAGCCACAACCACAAACACUAGUUUUACAACAAACACCCGUGAAACAUCAAUGCCUUGAAACCUUGUGUUUCUAGCGAAAUAAAAAAGUUAUGUCCUGUGUAACACUUAGGUAGGACUCGUAAGAAGCAAACAAAAAACAUCAAAACCAAAGACAAAGAAGAAGUCUAACUAAUCAAACUAAGAACUGGUUACGAUUGCAUGUGUCUUAAUCAGUCUCCACCUCCACCACCACCACCACCUCCGCCACAGCCACCGCCUCCACCACCAUCUCCGCCUCCACAGCCACCACCUCCACCUCCAUCACCAUCUCCGCCUCCACAGUCACUGCCACCACCACCACCUCCACCUCCGCCUUCAAUAUCCCCACCACCACCUCCUUCAGUCGCACAUCCUCCAUUGCAAAUGGCCGUACGAACCCCCAAAGCAAAAAUGACAACAAAUAAGGUUAUAACGAUUAUUGCUAUAAACUCCAUGUUACACAACACACGUUGAGGCUUGGGUUGAGAGCAACGAUUGAAAUCUCUACGCUAAGUAUUAAGUCUCGAUAAUAUAUAUAACACAUAUUUUUGUAUUUGAUGCUUUCCUGUAAACAGAUAAGGUGUUUUGUUUGCAUUGACUUUUAAAUAUUUAUAUGUUUACAUUCAAAGAUAUAGUUUGCUUUUGUUGUACAAAGAUUUAGUCAUGGAUAAAACUUGAACAAAACUUAACCUGUGAAGCUUUGACGCCAAAUAAUUUAUGAUAAAUUUUGUAACUGGAUUUGAAUUCCAAUUGUUUUAUUAAGCUGAACCGAUGUGACAUCUUUCACACGGUCUCUGACCAGAUACAAAC
rnacentral:lncRNA from 1 species